rnacentral:rRNA from 1 species
UACAGAGGCCCCAAGCAUUAUCCGGAAUCACUGGGCGUAAAGGGUGUGUGGGCGGUCGUAUUAGUCGUUUGUGAAAGAUCUCGGGCUUACCCCGGGAGACGCAAGCGAAACGGUACGACUUCGAGGAUGCGAGAGGUAAAGGGAACUCAUGGUGUAGGGGUGAAAUCCGUUGAUAUCAUGGGGAACACCAAAUGCGAAGGCACUUUACUGGCGCACUCCUGACGCUGAAACACGAAAGCGUGGGAAUCGAAAAGG